rnacentral:rRNA from 1 species
GGACGUAUCACAAGUGCGAAUGCUGACAUAAGUAACGAUAAAACGGGUGAAAAACCCGUUCGCCGGAAGACCAAGGGUUCCUGUCCAACGUUAAUCGGGGCAGGGUGAGUCGGCUCCUAAGGCGAGGCUGAAAAGCGUAGUCGAUGGGAAACAGGUUAAUAUUCCUGUACUUGGUAAAGCUGCGAUGUGGGGACGGAGUAGGUUAGGUUAUCGCACUGUUGGAUAUGUGCGUUUAAGUUGGUAGGUGGGAAGUUUAGGCAAAUCCGGACUUCCUUAACACAGAGAGAUGAUGACGAGGCUCUACGGAGCUGAAGUAACUGAUACCACACUUCCAGGAAAAGCCACUAAGCGAAAGGCUUUACUAAACCGUACUGAAAACCGACACAGGUGGUCAGGUAGAGAAUACUCAGGCGCUUGAGAGAACUCGGGUGAAGGAACUAGGCAAAAUAGCACCGUAACUUCGGGAGAAGGUGCGCCGGCGUAGAUUGUAGUCCCUAGCGGGCGAAGGUUGAACCGGUCGAAGAUACCAGCUGGCUGCAACUGUUUAUUAAAAACACAGCACUCUGCAAACACGAAAGUGGACGUAUAGGGUGUGAUGCCUGCCCGGUGCUGGAAGGUUAAUUGAUGGUGUCAUCGCAAGAGAAGCACCUGAUCGAAGCCCCAGUAAACGGCGGCCGUAACUAUAACGGUCCUAAGGUAGCGAAAUUCCUUGUCGGGUAAGUUCCGACCUGCACGAAUGGCAUAAUGAUGGCCAGGCUGUCUCCACCCGAGACUCAGUGAAAUUGAAAUCGCCGUGAAGAUGCGGUGUACCCGCGGCUAGACGGAAAGACCCCGUGAACCUUUACUAUAGCUUGACACUGAACAUUGAAUUUUGAUGUGUAGGAUAGGUGGGAGCCUUUGAAGCAGUGACGCCAGUCAUUGUGGAGGCGACCUUGAAAUACCACCCUUUAACGUUUGAUGUUCUAACGAAGAUGACGAAACGUGGUCUCGGACAGUGUCUGGUGGGUAGUUUGACUGGGGCGGUCUCCUCCCAAAGCGUAACGGAGGAGCACGAAGGUUUGCUAAUCACGGUCGGACAUCGUGAGGUUAGUGCAAUGGUAUAAGCAAGCUUAACUGCGAGACAGACAAGUCGAGCAGGUACGAAAGUAGGUCAUAGUGAUCCGGUGGUUCUGAAUGGAAGGGCCAUCGCUCAACGGAUAAAAGGUACUCCGGGGAUAACAGGCUGAUACCGCCCAAGAGUUCAUAUCGACGGCGGUGUUUGGCACCUCGAUGUCGGCUCAUCACAUCCUGGGGCUGAAGUAGGUCCCAAGGGUAUGGCUGUUCGCCAUUUAAAGUGGUACGCGAGCUGGGUUUAGAACGUCGUGAGACAGUUCGGUCCCUAUCUGCCGUGGGCGUUGGAUGAUUGAUUGGGGCUGCUCCUAGUACGAGAGGACCGGAGUGGACGCAUCACUGGUGUUCCAGUUGUCUCGCCAGAGGCAUUGCUGGGUAGCUAAAUGCGGAAGAGAUAAGUGCUGAAAGCAUCUAAGCACGAAACUUGCCAAGAGAUGAGUCAUCCCUGACUUUAAGUCAGUAAGGGUUGUUGU